UACAGGGGGUGCAAACGUUGCUCGGAAUCAUUGGGCGUAAAGCGCACGUAGGCGGUCUGUUAUGUCGGAUGUGAAAGCCCUUGGCUCAACUGAGGAAGUGCAUCCGAAACUGGCAGGCUAGAGUACUAAAGAGGAUCGCGGAAUUCCCGGUGUAGAGGUGAAAUUCGUAGAUAUCGGGAGGAACACCGGUGGCGGAGGCGGCGAUCUGGGUAGAUACUGACGCUGAGGUGCGAAAGCGUGGGGAGCAAACAGG
rnacentral:rRNA from 1 species